rnacentral:rRNA from 1 species
GACGAACGCUGGCGGCGUGCUUAACACAUGCAAGUCGAACGGAAAGGCCCUGCUUUUGUGGGGUGCUCGAGUGGCGAACGGGUGAGUAACACGUGGGUAACCUGCCCUUGACUUUGGAUAACUUCAGGAAACUGGGGCUAAUACCGGAUAGGAGCUCCUGCUGCAUGGUGGGGGUUGGAAAGUUUCGGCGGUUGGGGAUGGACUCGCGGCUUAUCAGCUUGUUGGUGGGGUAGUGGCUUACCAAGGCUUUGACGGGUAGCCGGCCUGAGAGGGUGACCGGCCACAUUGGGACUGAGAUACGGCCCAGACUCCUACGGGAGGCAGCAGUGGGGAAUAUUGCACAAUGGGCGGAAGCCUGAUGCAGCAACGCCGCGUGCGGGAUGACGGCCUUCGGGUUGUAAACCGCUUUCGCCUGUGACGAAGCGUGAGUGACGGUAAUGGGUAAAGAAGCACCGGCUAACUACGUG